rnacentral:rRNA from 1 species
AACGAACGCUGGCGGCAUGCCUAAUACAUGCAAGUCGAACGAGAUCUUCGGAUCUAGUGGCGCACGGGUGCGUAACGCGUGGGAAUCUGCCCUUGGGUUCGGAAUAACUUCUGGAAAGGGAAGCUAAUACCGGAUGAUGACGUAAGUCCAAAGAUUUAUCGCCCAAGGAUGAGCCCGCGUAGGAUUAGCUAGUUGGUAGGGUAAAGGCCCACCAAGGCGACGAUCCUUAGCUGGUCUGAGAGGAUGAUCAGCCACACUGGGACUGAGACACGGCCCAGACUCCUACGGGAGGCAGCAGUAGGGAAUAUUGGACAAUGGGGGAAACCCUGAUCCAGCAAUGCCGCGUGAGUGAUGAAGGCCUUAGGGUUGUAAAGCUCUUUUACCCGGGAUGAUAAUGACAGUACCGGGAGAAUAAGCUCCGGCUAACUCCGUG